rnacentral:rRNA from 1 species
CCUACGGGGGGCUGCAGUGGGGAAUAUUGCGCAAUGGGCGAAAGCCUGACCCAGCAACGCCGCGUGAAGGAAGAAGGCUUUCGGGUUGUAAACUUCUUUUGUCAGGGAAGAGUAGAAGACGGUACCUGACGAAUAAGCCACGGCUAACUACGUGCCAGCAGCCGCGGUAAUACGUAGGUGGCAAGCGUUGUCCGGAUUUCCUGGGUGUAAAGGGCGUGUAGCCGGGGUGACAAGUCAGAUGUGAAAUCCUGCGGCUUAACCGCAGAACUGCAUUUGAAACUGUUGAUCUUGAGUACUGGAGAGGGAGAUGGAAUUCCUAGUGUAGCGGUGAAAUGCGUAGAUAUUAGGAGGAACACCAGUGGCGAAGGCGGUCUGCUGGACAGCAACUGACGGUGAGGCGCGAAAGCGUGGGGAGCAAACAGGAUUAGAUACCCUUGUAGUC